rnacentral:lncRNA from 1 species
UUGUGCAAGAGUGGUUUUACCUAUACCCCCUAACCCAACCAGUGAGAUGAUAUGAGGAUGUUGUUCGCCAUUCUCACCCAACAACUUACCUAACAGCUCAUUUUUCUCGUCAUCUCUACCAAAAACCUCUCCCUCAUCAAUCAAGAAGGUGGUUCGCACUCGCUCUGGUUUCUUAACAUUGUUACUCACAUUCUCAACAAAUUUGAAACUAUCUUUUUGUCUGGCAAUAUCAUCUAGCUUUUCACUGAUUUCUCUAAUCUUGACAGCAAUAUCAUGACGAAGACUGAGUUGUUUGAAACCACCAAAGCAGUUUGAGGCAGCAGGAAAGAAGGAACAUACCUUCGUCAAAAGAGUAACAAAAGCAUUGGCGUCAUCAUCAUCAUCAUCAUCGCCGUCCUCAUCAAGCUGCAAUUUCCGUGUUUCAGUGAUCCACUCUUCCAACACAUCUUCCAUGUCGUAGGAUGCGUCUCUGAGCUGAUCCAGCCAAAAAGUAACAGCGUUGUCCUGCUUCAUUUGCCUCUGCUCUGCAUCUUCCAGCACAGCUUGAAUGGCUCAUUACUCAGCCCUUCUACUCUACAUUCACGAAGGAGUUGAAGAUUUUUCAGAGAUUCAAGCCUACACGUAUUGUUACCAUCAACACCUCCACCCACAACAAACUUUUCUAAUGUUCGAAGGCUGGUCAAUCUGGAAAUCCCUAUUGGCAGGUACUUCAACGAACUAGUAUCACCAUUUAGUAAACUCCUCAUGUUCUUUAACUUCCCAAUCCCCGUAGGCAAUUCUCUUAGAUCUUGGCACCGCCUAAUAUCUAGCUUUUGUAAAUUAUAUAAUUCACACAAAGUCUCAGGUAGACUCUCUAUACGUAGUCCAGACAAAUUAAGAUAUUUUAAAUGUAUCAAUUUUUCAACAUUUUCUGGAAUUUCUCUAAUCAAAUUUAGGUCAGGACGAAAAAUUGGGGACGGUUGGCUUAUAACUAAUGCCCUUAAACACGCCAAUUUACUAAAUAACUCCCGAAGGAUACUACUAUUAAGAGAUGGAUUGGAAGGACUUUCAUCAUCAAUUCCGAGUCCAGGACUGGACACAAGAUAUAAAACUGCAUUGACAAGACUAUAAGCGGAUGAAAUAGCCAUGGAUUGAAAUAAAGAUGGAUUGUAAUGACUUGUAUCAUAAAUUAAGAGGCUACGCAAUCGAUCAAAUUCAAAAAAGGACAUAGGAAAUGAAGCUCCUCUUUGAAAAUUUAACCCUAUGUGACGGACUUUCUCACCAAAAAAGUUUAUGACUAAUUCCUUGGUACCAUUUAUUUCUACCCACAAACAUUCUUUUCUACUUACAAAUUGGGCAAAAUCAUGUACUAUGUCAUGCAUCUUACACCUCAGAAUAUCAUCAUCGUCAUCAUCUUUUUCAAACUCUUGAAAGAAAGAGCGUGUUGCUAAGAUGUUGAAAUACUCUUCUCCAAUCAUCUCCAUUUCUUCGUCUUCAUCUGCAUUAAGGUAACCUUGAGCCAUCCAUAGAUUAAUCAAUUCCCUUUUAUUCAUAUUGUAGUCUUUUGGAAAGACAGCACAAUAUGAGAAGCACCGUUUUACCAUAGAAUUGGAGGGCAAAUCGUUAUAACUCAACAACAAAGGAGCCAAAAGACCUUGCUUAAUCUCUUCUACUUUCCACACUUCACUAUCUAAAAUUCUUUGCCACUCAUUUACUAUACUUUUAGAGGACAAGAGAUUCCCUGUACGUUUAUCGCACAAGAGGUUCCCUGUUACCUUUGCAGCAAGAGGCAGGCCUUUGCACUUGCGUGCAAUUUGUCGUGCGAUUGGUUCUAAUUUUUCACGAUCAACAGAAGAAUGACCGAAAAAUGCGAACCGCUCGAACAACGACCAGAAUUCAUCUUCAGGCAAUGGCUUAAUGGAGAUAAUAUUUGUUGAUCUCAUCAUACGGGCAACUGACACAUUACGUGUGGUAACCACAAUUUUACUUCCGGGAAGACCAUUCUUUAGACAAAAGAAGAAUUGAGCCCAUAUAUUAUAAUUCCCAUCCCAUACAUCAUCUAAGACAAGAAAAAUUUUUUUCCCUUCAAUUGAUCUAUGGAUAUGGCUCAUAAGAGAUUGGAAUUCGCUUAAACCAGAAGCUUCUUUUGACUCGUCUAGACCUUCAAUAAUUGCUUUGGCGACCCUCAUCUCAUCAAAAGUGUCCGAUACACACACCCAUAUAACUUUUUCAAAAUUUAUUUUCACCUCAUCAUUAUUAUAGGCUAGUUGUGCAAGAGUGGUUUUACCUAUACCCCCUAACCCAACCAGUGAGAUGAUAUGAGGAUGUUGUUCGCCAUUCUCACCCAACAACUUACCUAACAGCUCAUUUUUCUCGUCAUCUCUACCAAAAACCUCUCCCUCAUCAAUCAAGAAGGUGGUUCGCACUCGCUCUGGUUUCUUAACAUUGUUACUCACAUUCUCAACAAAUUUGAAACUAUCUUUUUGUCUGGCAAUAUCAUCUAGCUUUUCACUGAUUUCUCUAAUCUUGACAGCAAUAUCAUGACGAAGACUGAGUUGUUUGAAACCACCAAAGCAGUUUGAGGCAGCAGGAAAGAAGGAACAUACCUUCGUCAAAAGAGUAACAAAAGCAUUGGCGUCAUCAUCAUCAUCAUCAUCGCCGUCCUCAUCAAGCUGCAAUUUCCGUGUUUCAGUGAUCCACUCAUCCAACACAUCUUCCAUGUCGUAGGAUGCGUCUCUGAGCUGAUCCAGCCAAAAAGUAACAGCGUUGUCCUGCUUCAUUUGCCUCUGCUCUGCAUCUUCCAGCACAGCUUGAAUGGCUUGAAGAUUGGUGGU